GAAAUUCUUAAAGCUUUUCUUUCUUCCAACUAAGGUGAGAUUUCGGUGGAGAAGAUGAGAUUCUCUUUCUUUCCACUUAAAUACCCAUUAAAACAAUUCUCAAACUAUUACAUAAUUAACAUUUUAACAAGUGUUCAUCUAAUCUUACAUGUGUCUUCUUUAAACCUUGCAUCAAUCGUCCACUACUUGUAACACCUUAUAGCUGGC
rnacentral:lncRNA from 1 species